AAGAACACAACUUUGACCAUAAAAAUACUAGUAGUUGACUUAAUUGGACAAACACCCUCACAAAAAUGACAUAAUUGGUGAUACGAAAGAUGUAACUCCACCCCUUUUGUGCCAACAACCACGACGCGGGCAAGAAAAAACUCAACCCAAUGGGAAGAACGAGAAACCUUGGAAGGGAACACAGAUGUGCGGACCCCCCCUGGGUGACCGGUGCAAGGGAUGCCUAAUGGAUACGGUUAUAAUUUUCCUAAAUUCGCCAAAACGUCGCUGUGGAGUUAUUGAGUUUGUUUAGCUGAUUGGAGAGCUGGCUUCCACAGCGAGUGGGCCCAUGACGAUGACUUCUGUUUUGUUUGAUCAGCCGUGUGACGGG